GGAGUUAGCCGGUGCUUCUUCUGCGAGUAACGUCACAGAUGUAAGGUAUUAACUUACACCCUUUCCUCCUCGCUGAAAGUGCUUUACAACCCGAAGGCCUUCUUCACACACGCGGCAUGGCUGCAUCAGGGUUUCCCCCAUUGUGCAAUAUUCCCCACUGCUGCCUCCCGUAGGAGUCUGGGCCGUGUCUCAGUCCCAGUGUGGCUGAUCAUCCUCUCAGACCAGCUAGGGAUCGUCGCCUAGGUGAGCCUUUACCUCACCUACUAGCUAAUCCCACCUGGGCUUAUCCAUCAGCGCAAGGCCCGAAGGUCCCCUGCUUUCCCCCGUAGGGCGUAUGCGGUAUUAGCAGUCGUUUCCAACUGUUAUCCCCCACAAAUGGGCAAAUUCCCAGGCAUUACUCACCCGUCCGCCGCUCGUCAUCUUCAAAAGCAAGCUUUUGAAAUGUUACCGCUCGACUUGCAUGUGUUAGGCCUGCCGCCAGCGUUCAAUCUGACGACAUCAAUUCAACUCUGA
rnacentral:rRNA from 1 species